rnacentral:misc_RNA from 1 species
AUGAUUCCUAAUUAUAUUCUAAUUAACAGCUAAUUUACACUGAUCAAGGGAUUUACUCUAAUUGAGGGAUUCUAACAGUUGGCAAUGGAAAAAAAAUUUAGCAUGUACUCUAUAGUUUGCCUACCUUGCUUCCUACUAGAUAGGGGAUCAUUAGGUUGAUGAUUGUGGUGGGAAUGGAUCUAAACUCUUCAAUUUAAAUGUUUUAUGAUAGGUGGUAUUUAUCACCUUGUCUAAGCCAAUAGUGUUUAACAUUCAACUAAAUGUUAUAUCACAACAACGACAACAAUGACCAAGUCUUAAUACAAUGACAACUAAGCCUUAAUUUCAAACUACUUAGGUCGGUUAUAUAGAUCUUUUUUAGCCAUCAGCUCUAUUUGAAACUAAAUUUGCAUCAAUGUCCAAAAAUUAUAA